AGAGAGACAGAGAGAGAGAGAGAAUGGAAACACAGAAUUUUACAUGCUUAGGCAAGUGAGCCAAUGUCCCUGUACGAUAGACUGCUUUUCUACCUUUAAGAGGAGAAUAAGAUAUCCCCAUUUAUAGAUGUAUUAGAGUUAUUCCUUAUAUAAUAGGAAAAGCCAAAAAGGAAACUCUUAAUUACAAAAUAGCCUCCAAUAAUCGGAACUGCCUUUGACUAUCAAUGGCAGAACCUCCUCCCCUUUAGCCUCCCUCAGU
rnacentral:misc_RNA from 1 species